UCCAGCAUGGCUCCCAGCUAAUCGCUCUCUCCCAGUGGGAGGACUGCAUCCUCUGCACUCCCUGCCAGCCCGCGCAGUCCUCCACAUCUGCUGCUCCUCUUCUCUUCUCUCUUGGACACCUCUGGUGUUCGCCAGCCACCACCAUGUCCAUGAGUCCCCAGGUUCCAGCAGCUCCUCCAUGCAGUCAGUCUGGCUCCAGUACCAGGUUCGAAAGUUUACAGCUGUGAAGAUAGUGGGAUUCAUUAUGACGCCCAUUCUGGUUGACUAUUAUCUACUUUUGAAGACCUGGAAUGUCUCCCAUGUUUUGGUUUUGUUGGUUUCGUUCUUUACUGUUUUGUUCAAUUUUAUUAUAACAUGAUAUAGCUGAUUCUAUUUGAGAUAGCUGGAGGCAUUAUGGUAACCAUUGUUGAUCACCUUGUAUUAUGUUUUUACAUUAUCUAUUAUGUCCACCCUUUUGAUUUGACCAACUCUGUUCCGUUAUGUCACAUUUGGUUUUACUCUCUUCCAAAAAAGUGAUAAGAACCAUGGAAGUAAUAAAACCCCAAAUGUAUAAUAGUUUUUGUACAAAAGAGAGGAAAAGAAAGUGCUCUAAAUGAUAUAACUGCAUGUAUAUUUAAGUGUAUAAGAUAGACAAUGAUAUUACUGAGUUUUGUUGGAUCAUUGAACAGAACUAUUUGCAGUCUCAUUGUUUGAAUGUCCACUUUAUAUGCUUUAAUUUUGUAACUUGAACAAAUAUUUCUAAGAUGACAAUAUGUAAUCCAGUAACUAGUGAUCUCCUACUGUUUAUUUUUUUUCUGAUAUUCUGUGUAACUUGUACCCUUUUUCUGCUUUUUUUUCUCUUUUUCUCCUUAAAUAAAAAAAAGAACAAAAAAGUUAGACCCCCCCCAAAAAAUUUAAAGACCGAAUAAUUGAGCAUCUGAAAUGAAAUGACACUUCUUGAUGAAGAAGUACAAUUGGCCAAUAAAUGCUACAUGUGGAAAUGUUCAGCAUUUCUGGUCAUGCAAGAAAUGCAAAUAAAACACACUAAGACUUCAUGUCACUCCAGAAAGACUGACUACCAUCAAGAAAUCAACAAUAACAAAUGCUGGAGAGACUUCAGCUGAAGUUGUAACCCUUUUCUGUGUUGGUUGAGUGUAAACUGGUAUAUCCACUGUGCAAGUCAAUAUAGAGAUUCAUCUAAAAAUGAAAAAUAAAAUUCUACUUGACUCAGCAUUUCACCUGCUAGAUGUCUUCCCAAAA